rnacentral:rRNA from 1 species
AAUCGAAGCAGUGAACUUAAGCCCCGGUCAACGGCGGCCGUAACUAUGACGGUCCUAAGGUAGAGAAAUUCCUCGUCGGGUAAGUUCCGACCCCGACGAAAGGAGUGACGAUUGCGGUGCUGCCUCACCAAAAGACGCGAUGAAAUUGUAAUGCCGGUGAAGAUGCCGGAUACCUGCGACAGGACGGAAAGACCCCAUGGAGCUUUACUGUAGCUUGACAUUG